rnacentral:tRNA from 1 species
GGCCCAGUGGCUCAGUUGGUUAGAGCGCCGCCCUGUCACGGCGGAGGUCGUCGGUUCAAGUCCGUCCUGGGUCG